rnacentral:rRNA from 1 species
UACGGAGGGGGCAAGCGUUGUUCGGAUUUACUGGGCGUAAAGGGCGCGUAGGCGGCUUUGUAAGUUACUUGUGAAAUCUCCGGGCUUAACUCGGAGCGGCCAAGUGAUACUGCAGAGCUAGAGUGCAGAAGGGGCAACUGGAAUUCUUGGUGUAGCGGUGAAAUGCGUAGAUAUCAAGAGGAACACCUGAGGCGAAGGCGGGUUGCUGGGCUGACACUGACGCUGAAGCGCGAAAGCUAGGGGAGCAAACAGG